rnacentral:SRP_RNA from 1 species
UAUUGUGCUAGACUGGGCAGUUAGUCCUUGCCUGUUACCAUAAACGGACUUCAGAUGGAGUCGAAGCUUGAGGAGCGGUUUAUUGGUUUAGGGCAGUCCCAGGAUGUACUGUUGAUACUCUGUCCUCAUUGACUGAUGCUUUAAUGAAACGGAUCAGGACAGGAAUGUAGCAGUCCUAAGUCAUUGUGUUGGUGCUUUGAGGGCCGCGGAGAGGAGGGAACCCUGGGAUCAACUGUUCUGGAUUGAUAGAUCCAUCCUCAGGCGUGCACACUU